CAAUUUCUAAAUCUUUGAACGAACCAAUUAAGAAAUGUUCUAAAUGCAAGAAGUAUUUUACAUUAUUUUUGUACAAAACUUCACUGUUUUAGAAUCAAAAGAUCAUGAGAACCAGUUGAGUUUAGAACUAAUAACAAUGUCGAUUAGGAGAAUACAAAUAACAGACCUAAGUUGGACGGAUAUAUUGUUUCCUAAUGUACUGCCUCUACUAAGUGUACAGGAUUGGUUUAAUCUGCGAUGUGUGAGUACAGAUAUGAACAGUAUGGUUGAGAUGUACUUGGCACAAAAUCGGACUUUGAACCUCAGUGGCUUAAAAAAACUUUCCGAACAAGCAUUUAAGAUCUUAACUGAAAAUGCAACCUGUCUAAAAUAUCUGAAUCUAUCUGGGUCCAAGAUUAUAACAGAUGAUCUUGUUCGGUCAAUACUAGAGAAUAAUCUUGAAUUGACGUACAUAAACCUAUCCGACUGCCAUCAUUGUACUGCAGAUCUUCUGCACACUCUUACUCUGAGGAAUACUCGGCUGUGUCAUCUAAUCCUUCAAGACUGCCACUGGGUGACUAGAGACUCAAUAGACUUCCACGCAACUCACCAGGGAUUGAGUCAGGAAAGAAAAUCUACACCGAGCUUAAUAGAAAUAAAUCUAACAGGAUGUUGGGAACUAACGGACGAUGUUGUGAAAAACUUUCUCUCUCGGUUCCCGAAACUCAAGGUUGUUGAAUUAGGAAAUAUUUACAGUUUAACGGAUACUACGAUGAAAGCGCUUGCCACCUACACUAGGGACCUUCAAGUUUUGAACAUUCAAGGAUGCUGGAGAAUUUCGGAUUCGGGACUCAGAACUGUAUCUGAAUACUGUCCAAACAUUGUGAAAUUAAAAGUAGAGGAUUGCAGAGCGAUAUCUGAAUCAUCUUUAGCUAGGCUCAGACAGAAGGAUGUUGAUAUUGAUCGAGCACUUGACAGAACACUUCUUAGAAUUCAGCAGAUGCGUCUACAGUAUAUGCAUGACAGGCUUGUCAUCUGAAAAUAAACCAAGAUGUCACAAACAAUGCAUUUAUUUACGUAGAUCUCAUAUAUUUUUGUGCUAAUUAAAGGCUAAUCAUUAAAUUUAAAUAUUCCAGUUUCCUAUUAAUUCCAAGGCCUAACUAACAAACAACCACAUCACUUUGAAGAAAUAACUAUUGAACGUAUUUUAAUUAUAUAUUAAUGAAUGUUUUGUUCUUAAAAUUAACUGAGAUUUCUUACCGCAGCUCUGAAGCUAUUUAAUACGCGCCCAACCUCAAAAUACUCUGUGAUCGAUUAAACAUUAUUGGUUGACAAUUUACUUUUUAAAAUUUACAUCUCCAAAUUUUUAUAGAUAUUAUUUUAUUGACAUUUUUAGUCAUCUUAGAAACU